GGUAUCUCACGGAGCAACAAGAGGUGAUGCAGAACAGGGAUUCAGAGUAUACGGUCUGGUUUUGAUUUCCUGCUCGAGCACCUCCUUAAGAAUGCAGGAAGCAUCACCUCGCUAUGGCGCACCACCUCGCUAUGGCGCACCACCUCGCUAUGGCGCACCACCUCGCUAUGGCGCACCACCUCGCUAUGGCGCAUCACCUCGCUAUGACGCACCACCUCGCUAUGGCGCACCACCUCGCUAUGGCGCACCACCUCGCUAUGGCGCACGCUCCUUGCCUGCAGACAAGGAUUACUUCCUACUUCAUAACGUUGCUGCAAUAAUUAAGUGAGAGUAGCAGAAACCCUACCAACCUCCAUCCUAGAUCUCAUAGAUGCCAGAAUGGUGGAGAAUGAAAAGUUUUAAAUACGAUGCAGUCUCUGUUGUCUUCUGAUAGAGCACAAGUGGACCAAGACAUCCGUCUUCUGCUGGGCCUGGGAAGGGAGAAACCCGGCAGUCUGGAGGAGGAGAGGGGCGUCCCGGGAUAAGAGUGCUUCCUAAAUAGUUUUCAGCCGAGCUGUUAUGUUUCCCAGGGGUUGCAUCUUCAAUGCCUGCACCAUCAGUGCCUGCACCACCAGUGCCUGCACCAUCAGUGCCUGCACGGUCAGUGCCUGCACGGUCAGUGCCUGCACCGUCAGUACCUGCACCAUCAAUGCCUGCCUGCACCGUCAGUGCCUGCACGGUCAGUGCCUGCACCGUCAAUGCCUGCACCGUCAGUGCCUGCACCGUCAAUGCCUGCACCGUCAGUGCCUGCAUUUUAGUUGACCUGGUUCUUGGCUUUCUGAAGAAGAGUCUUCCAAUUUUCAUCAACAUUACUUGCUUAUAACUUCAAGACCAGUUGGUGCUGGUCUUCUCAUGGUCACUUUAACUUUGUUCUAGGCCUUCAAACAAUCCCUUUACUGUAUUUUAGAAGUCAUAAUUUGUGUUCAACCAGCUAUCCAUGGGCAAAUCUGUUUUCUUCAGGUAAAUAUCCCAUAUGGGUGUUUUCUAGUGUUUGUUUUGCAGGGUCUAUGUUUGAGAAAAGCACAGGCAGCAGAAGCUGGUUAUGUAGAAAUGAGAGGACAUUUUCCCUUUCAAUUCGGCUUCCUUCCUUCACAGUUCAGUUAAAAUAAAAAUCUUCUCAGUCAAGAACUAAGAAGUUAUGAGAAUCUGACCACAAAAAGCAUUGUCAGAAAUACCAUUUUUGAACUAUCAUAAAGAAAUGAUCUAGAUGUUUAAAUUGAUUUAAACAUUGAACAGUGCAUAGAUGUAUAAAACAUUGUUGUAUAUAA